rnacentral:rRNA from 1 species
UCCUACGGGAGGCAGCAGUCGGGAAUAUUGCGCAAUGGAGGAAACUCUGACGCAGUGACGCCGCGUAUAGGAAGAAGGUUUUCGGAUUGUAAACUAUUGUCGUUAGGGAAGAUAAAAGACUGUACCUAAGGAGGAAGCCCCGGCUAACUACGUGCCAGCAGCCGCGGUAAUACGUAGGGGGCAAGCGUUAUCCGGAUUUACUGGGUGUAAAGGGAGCGUAGGCGGCAGUGCAAGUCAGAAGUGAAAGCC